rnacentral:lncRNA from 1 species
GGGGGUAGGCACGUGAAUAAAGGGGAAAGGGGUUGUUUUUUUUAUGUAUCAGAUUGGGGAAAUUUAGGGAAAUUAGGGUAGAGAGGUGGUUCUCUCCUCCAUUUGAGCCACCACCUCUCUUGGUGAUGGGGAAGCUGCUGGAUGAUGGGACGACGAAGAUGGCAGAAGGAGCGGCGUCCCUUGCGGUGGUGGUCACGACUUUAUGAUAUCGAAUCC